UCUGUUAUCUCCAGAGGAAGUCUUGGCAGCGGCAACUUUAAUCUGAGCUUUUUUUCUACCAACUUUCAACUGUCAGUUUGACAAAGCAAAUACAAGUGUAGACAUCUAGUUUGAGAAACUCUACAGUUAAACUCCUGGAUUUUGUUCAUAAAAGACGAAUCUCUGAGGAAGGCAGUUUUCUGCGUGUUUGUUCUGGCAGGAAGAAGCUUCCCCGCUGUGAUUUGUGGUGUUUUUUUUUAAUCCUGUUGUUAAGUGGUGAGCAUUCGCAGUCAAAGUGACCAAACCAGGCAUGGAACAGAACAACAUGGAAACAGACAAUGGAAGGCGGCGCCCGUCACCGCCGGCUGCACGGCCACUCUGUGGCUGCAAUCUUCAAAGGUGAAAGACAUUCACGGAUUACUACUUGGAUACAAUAAUGCCCCCGGAGCAGCAAAAUCAGGUCCACUGCCCUCCUCUGCCUCUCCCGUACUCCAUUACUUCCACUUUAGGCUGAUGGACGAGAUGACAGAUCGGCGUGCACACAUCUCUGCGUGAUUGGCUGCUGGGCUCACGCCGAUGAGGAUGAAGAGGGAAAGCAGGACACUGUUUUUAUGUGUUCCAGCAUGCAGGAGUUUUUAUCAGAUCUCUCCUCCAGGAGGAAGCUGCACUGCAGGAACUCCCCAUCCACCACUCCUGCCAUGACCUGAGUGGUUGAUCAUUCUCACUGAGGUGCACAUAAACUAUCCCAGCAUGCUGCUGGGGGGAGUCAGGGACAGUCUGUCCACAUGUCUUUGUCUAACCAGGAAAAACAAGCCUGCCGGAUUCUUACUGACGAUUCUGUGUUUCCAAGAUUCUCUCAGAAUGCAUUAAAACAAUCAUAAAACAGCUCAAAUAUAAAGCAGUAAAAGAUGGACGUGGAUGCAGAUGCUGCAGCACAGGAUCCCAGGCAGCAGGAAUAACAGAACCUGGACUGAAGCCUUCAAAGAGUCCAGACUCUGAAGCUCAUUGGAAAAGCAGUUCAAGUCCUGCAGAUCUCCAGCUUCUGCUGGAUUUUUGGACCACCAUGGGAUCUGGUCUGAAUCUCAUCAUUAUUUAAAAAAAAA